rnacentral:lncRNA from 1 species
UUAUAUAGCAGAGAAAAUUUAUAUUGCCACAAUUGCAUGAUAUAAUCAGUAAUAAAUUAAUCAUAUCUCUUUUCUUAAGAAAAAAUUCAGGACGAGCAAUUCUAUUUGUCAGCGAUAUAACCGGUGCAUUCUAUACUUUUUCUUAUAUAACGCUAGUUCUUUAAGCUAUGUUUUAUACCAUUUAACUAAGAAAAAUAUUAUCUGUACAUCGAAAAAAAAAGAGUAGAGGAGCCGGCAAU